rnacentral:rRNA from 1 species
GAUGAACGCUGGCGGCGUGCCUAAUACAUGCAAGUCGAGCGAACAGACGAGGAGCUUGCUCCUCCGACGUUAGCGGCGGACGGGUGAGUAACAUGUGGACAACCUACCUAUAAGAAUGGGAUACUUUCGGGAAACCGGCGCUACUACGGGAUAAUUUAUUGAAUUGAAUGGUUCCAUCGUGUAAGACGGUUUUGCGGUCACUUAUAGAUGGAUCAGCGCCGCAUUCGCUAGUUGGUAUGGUAACGGCUUACCAAGGCAACGGUGCGAAGCCGACCUGAGAGGGUGGACCGGCACACGGGAUCAGAGACUGAGCCCAGACUCCGGCAGUAGGCAACAGUAGGGAAUCUUCCGCGAUGGAGGAGAGCCUAACGUUGCGACGCCGCGGAAAGGAUGAAGGUCUUAGGAUGGUAAAACGCUGUUGGUAGUAAGAAAGUAAAAUUUUUGUAACGAUGCACGUCAUGACGGUACCUGAACAAGAAGCCACGGCUAACUACGUG